AGAAUAACCUUUGUUUUGGUGAGGUUUACGGGAACAUCAUGACCUCAAGAACAAAGGAUCUGACACCAAGAAGUCUGCAUCAACUAACCACGCCCCUCCCUCACCUUUCCUAUAAAAGGGCUUUGCUGAAAGCUUUCUGGGAGUUCGGCGUUUUCAAGGCUUGAGGAAUGCAGUGACGGACCUCACUCGUACUCUUAUGGAGUCCUCUUGGUUUUCUCCUGAGUAAUGCCUUGAUGGUUGUCCUUUAGGAAGGAGUCAUCAGUGUGGAAACUCUUAAAUGAAACUUACAGAUUUCAGAAAAGAAGUCACAGACGUGUAAUGAGGUGGUGAGACUAAAUCAGCAAAUGAGAAGCAGGAAACAUCCCAACAGCAAUUCAACCCCCGCUGAAAUUUGCAAAAUAUGCCAGUAUCUCCCAGGAGAGUAAACAAUCAUGAUGUUGAAAUGUCAGCUGUGGAAACAGUAUGUUAAAAUGCAGUGCAAAAUUUCCCAGCAGUAUAUUUUGUCUUAUGAAGUGUAGUCUUAUGCACAAUAGUCCAUAAGUAGCCCCAGGGUUGUAGCUACAUCAGCAGAACUCUCUUUACUUCUCUGUCCAUGGUAAUCACUAGUGAACGCAACUGGGGACACACUGGCUAGCUUAAUUUAUUAUCACCAGUUAAUUGUCUAUGUCUAAUAAGGUUAAACGAUGAAAUUCAAACCCAAAUCCUAUAUCACUCAUUUGACUGCUCUUCUUGAAGGCUAGUUUAUUGUCUGAUCCUGCAUAUCUUUGGCACAUUCAAGAAAGGCCUCCCUUUUGGUUGCCCUGGUGAUGCUUUCCUCAUAUGUCUUUUAAAAUAUCCCAGAUGGGCAGCUCCUUAGAAAUAAGAAAUGGAUAUAGAUGGGAGUCAUAUCACUUAAAAAGUAAACAAAUUAUUAAUGCACUUAUCUUUCUAGUUUAAGCAAACACUGCUUUUGUUUUGAUUUAACUUUUUACACUUGCUCCCAGUACUAACAGAGACAUUUCUAACACUA